AUGGCAUUGCUGCCCGGCAUUGGCUGCACCAGCAGCAGCAGCGUCCUGGCACGAGCAGGUUCGCGGUGUCUGGCAGCGGCGUCCCACGCGCCCUCCUCCUCACCUCUCUUCCUCCUGCACGUCAAUGGCGGCGGCGGCGGCGGGCAGGCGCAUCUCCUCUCGCGCAAGGCCACCGGCAACGCCGCAGGCUUAUUAAGCGGGAGGAGGAGGAGGCGGGACCUAUCCGUCGUCGCGGCGGCGGCGACGGCGGCCAAUGUCACGCCGGCGUCGCCCCGCGGCGUCAGCGCCAGCGACGUCCUCUGGCCUUCCGCCGGCGCGUUCCUGGCAAUGGCAGUGCUGGGAAGGAUGGACCAAAUGAUGGCCUUCAAGGGAGUAUCAUUGACAGUUGCACCACUUGGGGCCGUCUGCGCCGUGCUCUUCACCGCCCCAGACUCACCACCUGCCAAGAAAUAUAACAUGUUCGUCGCUCAGAUUGGUUGUGCGGCCAUCGGCGUGCUAGCCCUUUCGUUCUUCGGGCCCGGAUGGCUAGCAAGGGGUGCAGCUCUCUCUGCAUCCAUAGCAUUCAUGACCAUCACAGGCUCUUCGCACCCUCCAGCUGCGAGCUUGCCUCUCCUGUUUAUUGAUGGUCCGAAGUUUCACCAUUUACAACUUUGGUAUGCACUUUUCCCUGGGGCUGCCGGCUGCGCCAUCCUUUGCUUGAUUCAAGAAGUGGUGGUUUACCUCAAGAAGAACUGCAAGUUUUGA
rnacentral:rRNA from 1 species